rnacentral:rRNA from 1 species
GUGCACGCUGGCGGUCGGCCUCACACCUGCCAGUCGCACGGCAGCACAGUAAGAGCUUGCUCUUACGGGUGGCGAGUGGCGGACGGGUGAGGAAUACAUCGGAAUCUACUUUUUCGUGGGGGAUAACGUAGGGAAACUUACGCUAAUACCGCAUACGACCUACGGGUGAAAGCAGGGGAUCUUCGGACCUUGCGCGAUUGAAUGAGCCGAUGUCGGAUUAGCUAGUUGGCGGGGUAAAGGCCCACCAAGGCGACGAUCCGUAGCUGGUCUGAGAGGAUGAUCAGCCACACUGGAACUGAGACACGGUCCAGACUCCUACGGGAGGCAGCAGUGGGGAAUAUUGGACAAUGGGCGCAAGCCUGAUCCAGCCAUACCGCGUGGGUGAAGAAGGCCUUCGGGUUGUAAAGCCCUUUUGUUGGGAAAGAAAAGCAGCAGGUUAAUACCCCGCUGUUCUGACGGUACCCAAAGAAUAAGCACCGGCUAACUUCGUG